rnacentral:tRNA from 1 species
UAUAUUCUAGUGUAUGGUGCACAUUGAUUUUUGAUGUCAAGAGGAAAAGUUUAAUUCUUUUGAGUAUAA